rnacentral:rRNA from 1 species
AGAGUUUGAUCCUGGCUCAGAUUGAACGCUGGCGGCAUGCUUUACACAUGCAAGUCGAACGGCAGCGGGGGCUUCGGCCUGCCGGCGAGUGGCGAACGGGUGAGUAAUGCAUCGGAACGUGCCCAGUCAUGGGGGAUAACUACGCGAAAGCGUAGCUAAUACCGCAUACGCCCUGAGGGGGAAAGCGGGGGAUCGCAAGACCUCGCGUGAUUGGAGCGGCCGAUGUCGGAUUAGCUAGUUGGUGGGGUAAAGGCCUACCAAGGCGACGAUCCGUAGCGGGUCUGAGAGGAUGAUCCGCCACACUGGGACUGAGACACGGCCCAGACUCCUACGGGAGGCAGCAGUGGGGAAUUUUGGACAAUGGGCGAAAGCCUGAUCCAGCCAUGCCGCGUGCAGGAUGAAGGCCUUCGGGUUGUAAACUGCUUUUGUACGGAACGAAAAGCCUCUUUCUA